AUAACUCUUUAUGUUGUUUCAGUGCUUCCUCCCUCUCAGACUGGAGGUGCUGGAUCACAACUGUCAAUGCUUCAAACUUCUGGUUACUGCUUGACAAGAAUUUCUUGAGCUGCAGGAUGAUUCCACUUUGGUUCUCACAUUUUGUUUUGUACUGUGCCAACUCAGCUGUUUUUGUGCCAGUUGAAUGCACAUCUGUGGAGGUUUGGGUCUGUAUGCAUGAGCUUUUAGGACUCCGC
rnacentral:lncRNA from 1 species